AGGACGAACGCUGGCGGCGUGCUUAACACAUGCAAGUCGAGCGGUAAGGCCCUUCGGGGUACACGAGCGGCGAACGGGUGAGUAACACGUGGGUAACCUGCCCUGUACUUUGGGAUAAGCCCGGGAAACUGGGUCUAAUACCGGAUACGACUCCUCCACGCAUGUGGUGGGGUGGAAAGUUCUGGCGGUACAGGAUGGGCCCGCGGCCUAUCAGCUUGUUGGUGGGGUGAUGGCCUACCAAGGCGACGACGGGUAGCCGGCCUGAGAGGGCGACCGGCCACACUGGGACUGAGACACGGCCCAGACUCCUACGGGAGGCAGCAGUGGGGAAUCUUGCACAAUGGGCGAAAGCCUGAUGCAGCGACGCCGCGUGAGGGAUGACGGCCUUCGGGUUGUAACCUCUUCGACCGGGACGAAGCGAGAGUGACGGUACCGGUAGAAGAAGCACCGGCUAACUACGCGCCAGCACGCCGC
rnacentral:rRNA from 1 species